GGUUCUCACAGGUUCUCACAGGUAGAUAAAGUUCUGACAGGUUCUCACAGGUUCUGACAGGUUCUCACAGGUUCUGGCUGUUGGAGCCAGUCGGGCCUGUGUUCUGAUGAUGAACCCAAAUGUUUUGUUGAACUGAUGACUUCAGUUCUUCUUGAUGUCUGAACUCUUCCUGUCUCCAUGCAGAACGUCUUCCAGCCCAGUUCCAGGUCGGUUCAGUCCGAGUGUUUCUCGGUGCUGGUCCAUGUGGACCCAGUUGGUUUUGAACUCCAUGCUGACAUUAAAACUGCUUCUGUUUCUGUUUUUACAUUGUAGAACAAAACUAAAAGUCAGAUUUGAUCUUGUUUCUGUUUCCUCUCAGCUGGGAAAUAAACUCUGGAGGUUCUGAGGACUGGAACCACCCAGAACCAUGAACCGGGUCUGUCAUUUACAUCAAAUUAGUUUUAAUAUUAUUCAUUUGAUUAAAGAGGAGCUCAUCUGUUUGGUUGUUUGAACAGUUUAGAUUAAAGGACGAUCUGCUUGUUGGAGGAGAACUCACUGAAAGAACUUUAUUCUGAAACUACUUCCUGUCUGAAACAGGAGGUGAAUGAAUUGUGGGUAAUGUAUUUCUUUAGCAGCUCUGUAGACUCCAAGCAAUAAUUUCUGUUUGUUGUGAUUCUUUGGUUUCUGUUUGUGUGAAAAUCUUGAAUUAUUUCUU